rnacentral:misc_RNA from 1 species
UGAAGAAGCUGGGCGGGACCGUGGAUGACACUGUGCUUGUAAAGGGUUUGGUGUUUGACAAGAAGGUAAGUCAUGCGGCUGGCGGACCGACCAGAAUGGAGAAUGCGAAGAUUGCGGUAAUUCAAUUCCAGAUUUCACCACCUAAAACUGACAUUGAGCAGAGUAUUGUGGUCUCGGAUUAUACUCAGAUGGAUAGGAUAUUGAAAGAGGAGAGGAAUUACAUUUUAGGUAUGAUCAAGAAGAUUAGGGCAACUGGGUGUAACGUAUUGUUGAUUCAGAAGAGUAUCUUGAGAGAUGCAGUGACAGAUUUGUCACUACAUUACCUUGCUAAAGCUAAGAUUUUGGUGAUUAAGGAUGUUGAGCGCGAUGACAUUGAAUUCAUUACAAAGACUCUCAAUUGUCUGCCAAUUGCAAAUAUUGAACAUUUCCGCGCUGAGAAGUUGGGGUAUGCAGAACUCGUUGAGGAGGCUUCAAUGGGAGAUGGGAAGAUUGUUAGGAUUACGGGCAUUAAG